rnacentral:rRNA from 1 species
GGCGGACGGGUGAGUAAUACUUAGGAAUCUGCCCAUUAGUGGGGGACAACUCGAGGAAACUCGAGCUAAUACCGCAUACGCCCUACGGGGGAAAGCAGGGGAUCUUCGGACCUUGCGCUAUUGGAUGAGCCUAAGUCGGAUUAGCUUGUUGGUGAGGUAAAGGCUCACCAAGGCGACGAUCCGUAGCUGUUCUGAGAGGAAGAUCAGCCACACUGGGACUGAGACACGGCCCAG